CAGCCGCCACGGUAACGCGUAGGUGGCAAGCGUUGUCCGGAAUUAUUGGGCGUAAAGGGCUCGCAGGCGGUUUCUUAAGUCUGAUGUGAAAGCCCCCGGCUCAACCGGGGAGGGUCAUUGGAAACUGGGAAACUUGAGUGUAGAAGAGGAGAGUGGAAUUCCACGUGUAGCGGUGAAAUGCGUAGAGAUGUGGAGGAACACCAGUGGCGAAGGCGACUCUCUGGUCUGUAACUGACGCUGAGGAGCGAAAGCGUGGUGAGCGAACAGGAUUAGAUACCCCUGUAGUCCCUGUCUCUUAUAC
rnacentral:rRNA from 1 species